CCACCUAGAGACAGGGGGGGAGGAAAGUAGUUUCCCCGGCGCCCCAGGCGCACCCAUUUGGCACAGAGGAGAGGGCGCACCCCGGCCUGUACGCCAUUCCCCCACACGUCACCCAGCGGCUCCAGCCCUGCCCGCCAUGUCACUCAAAAAUCGCUCCACGCUGAGUCCCCGCCCCACUCCCACGGAGUCCCGCCGUGCCCGGCCAUACAGCUGAGCGCCUCAUCUCUCCCCAGCCGGGCCAGCCAAUGGGAGUGCGGGACGUGCGCUCGGAUGUUUCCCGCUCACACCCCCCUGCCGUGUGUGGGGCUGGGACAGACCCAGGCAGGUUGUAUACACCGGACAUCUGCCAAACCCAGAAUCAUCUGAUGGUGACGUGAGAUAGAAGUCUUCCCUCUGCUCCAGAGUCCAGUAGGGUGACCUUUACUCCCCUCCAGCUGACACUUGGCACAUAAGGAUUGCGCUUCAUUACUCAGGCUCUCAGCUAAUAUGGUUUCUGAAAUACUCACUUGUCCGGCCCCUCCAGGUUAUCCAUGAUCCAUAAUCGGACUUCAGAUACAGCA